rnacentral:rRNA from 1 species
AUACGUAGGUGGCGAGCGUUGUCCGGAAUGAUUGGGCGUAAAGGGCGCGUAGGCGGAUCACUAAGUCUGUCGUGAAAGAUCAGGGCUCAACCCUGUGCUGCGAUGGAAACUGGUGAUCUUGAGUGCAGGAGAGGGAAGUGGAAUUCCCAGUGUAGCGGUGAAAUGCGUAGAUAUUAGGAGGAACACCAGUGGCGAAGGCGACUUUCUGGACUGUAACUGACGCUGAGGCACGAAAGCGUGGGGAGCGAACAGGAUUAGAUACCCUGGUAGUCCACGCUGUAAACGGUGAAUGCUAGGUGUGGGGUGUCAAAGCUCCGUGCCGCAGUUAACACAAUAAGCAUUCCGCCUGGGGAGUACGGCCGCAAGGUUGA